UUCUCGAAGAAUGUACAAGCUGCGGUACGCGUUCUCCGUGGUCUGUAAGCGUUGAGGGUAUUCUGCUCCGCGGGUUUUUGCAUCUCGGAGUUAGGCAGCUGCAGUCGCUUCUCAGGGGGAAGUGUAUCGGGUUCACCGCUGCUCGGAGCGGUCCUUUUUUUUUUCCACUGGAGCGGAAGGAGAGUGCUGCCAUGACGGCCCCUGCUCAGCCCAAGAAAAUCGUGGCCCCUACGGUGUCUCAGAUCAACGCGGAGUUCGUGACCCAGUUAGCAUGUAAAUACUGGGCUCCCCAUAUCAAGAAAAAAUCACCUUUUGAUAUAAAGGUGAUUGAAGAUAUAUAUGAGAAAGAAAUUGUCAAAUCAAGGUUUGCCAUCAGAAAGAUAAUGCUCUUGGAAUUUAGCCAGUAUCUUGAAAAUUACCUCUGGAUGAAUUAUUCUCCAGAAAUGUCCAGCAAAGCCUAUUUAAUGUCAAUCUGCUGUAUGGUGAAUGAGAAGUUCAGAGAAAAUGUCCCUGCAUGGGAGACUUUUAAGAAGAAGCCAGAUGACUUCCCAUUCUUUUUCAAGUGUAUCUUGAAAGCGGCAUUAGCUGAAACUGAUGGUGAAUUUUCACUCCAUGAACAGACAGUCUUAUUGCUUUUUCUUGAUCAUUGCUUCAAUAGUUUGGAAGUAGACUUGAUACGGAGUCAAGUACAGCAGCUUAUCUCCCUCCCAAUGUGGAUGGGCUUACAGCCUGCACGGUUGGAAUUAGAAUUAAAAAAGACACCUAAACUAAGAAAAUUCUGGAACUUGAUUAAAAAGAAUGAUGAAAAGAUGGAUCCAGAAGCAAGAGAACAAGCCUAUCAAGAAAGAAGAUUUCUUUCACAACUCAUCCAGAAGUUUAUCUCUGUGCUGAAAUCAGUUCCACUUUCUGAACCUGUCACUAUGGACAAAGUUCAUUACUGUGAAAGAUUUAUUGAACUUAUGAUUGAUCUAGAGGCCCUGCUCCCCACGAGACGCUGGUUUAAUACCAUCCUGGAUGACUCCCACCUUUUGGUUCACUGUUACCUUUCCAAUCUUGUUCGUAGAGAAGAGGAUGGCCAUCUUUUUUCCCAGCUUUUGGACAUGCUUAAGUUCUAUACUGGUUUUGAGAUUAAUGAUCAGACUGGAAAUGCUCUGACAGAGAAUGAGAUGACUACAAUUCACUAUGAUAGAAUUACUUCUCUACAGAGAGCUGCUUUUGCACAUUUCCCUGAACUCUAUGAUUUUGCCCUCUCAAAUGUUGCAGAAGUAGAUACUCGGGAAUCCUUGAUCAAGUUUUUUGGACCUCUUAGUUCAAGUACACUCCACCAGGUGGCAUCAUACCUCUGCUUGUUACCAACUCUUCCUAAAGGUGAAGACACAACUUUUGAUAAAGAAUUUCUUCUAGAAUUGUUGGUAUCUCGUCACGAGCGUCGAAUUUCUCAGAUUCAGCAGUUGAACCAGAUGCCUUUGUAUCCAACCGAGAAAAUCAUAUGGGAUGAAAAUAUUGUCCCAACUGAGUACUAUUCUGGGGAAGGUUGUCUUGCUCUUCCCAAGUUGAAUUUGCAGUUUUUGACUCUUCAUGAUUACCUCCUAAGGAACUUUAACCUCUUCCGCUUAGAAUCAACUUAUGAAAUUAGGCAGGACAUCGAGGAUAGUGUCAGCAGAAUGAAGCCAUGGCAGUCUGAGUAUGGCGGGGUGGUAUUCGGUGGCUGGGCGCGAAUGGCCCAGCCCAUCGUGGCGUUCACCGUGGUGGAGGUUGCCAAACCCAGCAUAGGCGAGAACUGGCCAACCCGGGUUCGCGCAGAUGUCAGCAUCCAUCUGAACGUCAGAGACCACAUCAGAGAUGAGUGGGAAGGACUUCGGAAGCAUGAUGUAUGCUUUUUAAUUACCGUGCGUCCCACAAAACCGUAUGGUACCAAGUUUGACCGGAGGAGACCUUUUGUUGAGCAGGUUGGCCUGGUUUAUGUCAGAGGCUGUGAGGUCCAGGGCAUGCUGGACGAUAAAGGGCGUGUCAUUGAAGACGGACCUGAGCCCAGACCCAAUCUUAGAGGAGAAUCAAGGACAUUUAGAGUGUUUUUGGAUCCAAACCAGUAUCAACAAGAUAUGACCAAUACGAUACAAAAUGGAGCAGAAGAUGUGUAUGAAACUUUCAAUAUAAUAAUGAGGAGAAAACCGAAGGAAAAUAACUUUAAGGCUGUGCUGGAGACUAUUCGGAACCUGAUGAAUACUGAUUGUGUGGUACCUGACUGGCUGCAUGACAUCAUUUUAGGUUAUGGGGAUCCAAGUAGUGCACAUUAUUCCAAAAUGCCCAAUCAGAUCGCCACCCUUGAUUUCAAUGAUACAUUUCUCUCCAUUGAGCAUUUAAAAACCAGCUUUCCUGGUCAUAAUGUUAAAGUAACUGUGGAUGACCCAGCUCUACAGAUACCCCCUUUCAGGAUAACUUUUCCAGUAAGAAAUGGAAAGGGGAAGAAAAGGAAAGAUGCAGAGAAGGAAGAUGAAGACACUGAAGAGGCAAAAACCUUAAUUGUUGAACCUCAUGUUAUUCCUAAUAGAGGUCCUUAUCCUUACAACCAGCCCAAACGGAAUACAAUUCAGUUCACUCAUACACAGAUAGAGGCCAUCCGUGCUGGAAUGCAGCCUGGGCUAACUAUGGUUGUGGGCCCACCAGGUACAGGAAAAACAGAUGUGGCAGUCCAAAUCAUAUCCAACAUCUACCACAAUUUCCCAGAGCAGAGGACUCUGAUUGUUACUCAUUCCAAUCAGGCCCUGAACCAGUUGUUUGAGAAAAUCAUGGCUUUAGACAUUGACGAGCGUCACCUCCUGCGUCUUGGUCAUGGAGAAGAAGAGCUGGAGACGGAGAAAGAUUUCAGCAGGUAUGGAAGAGUUAAUUAUGUCCUAGCUCGAAGAAUAGAACUUUUAGAAGAAGUCAAACGAUUGCAGAAGAGUCUAGGGGUUCCAGGAGAUGCUUCGUAUACUUGUGAAACUGCAGGCUAUUUCUUCUUAUAUCAGGUAAUGUCUCGUUGGGAAGAGUAUAUCAGCAAAGUGAAAAAUAAAGGUAACACGUUGCCAGAUGUUACUGAAGUCUCCACUUUCUUCCCUUUUCAUGAGUACUUUGCAAAUGCCCCUCAACCCAUUUUUAAAGGCCGGUCUUAUGAAGAAGACAUGGAAAUUGCUGAAGGAUGUUUCAGGCAUAUUAAGAAAAUCUUUACUCAGCUUGAGGAGUUUAGAGCCUCUGAACUGCUUCGAAGUGGACUAGACAGAUCUAAAUACCUUUUGGUGAAAGAAGCCAAAAUCAUUGCUAUGACCUGUACUCAUGCUGCCUUAAAACGACAUGAUUUAGUCAAGUUAGGUUUCAAGUAUGACAACAUUUUAAUGGAAGAGGCUGCUCAGAUUCUGGAGAUAGAAACUUUUAUACCUCUUCUUCUACAGAACCCUCAGGAUGGUUUUAGCCGACUAAAACGUUGGAUUAUGAUUGGUGAUCAUCACCAGUUACCUCCAGUCAUUAAGAACAUGGCCUUUCAGAAGUAUUCAAACAUGGAGCAGUCUCUCUUCACUCGCUUUGUCAGAGUUGGAGUUCCUACUGUGGACCUCGAUGCCCAAGGGAGGGCCAGAGCAAGCUUGUGCAACCUCUACAACUGGCGAUACAAGAAUCUAGGAAACUUACCCCAUGUGCAGCUCUUGCCGGAGUUUAGUACAGCAAAUGCUGGCUUGCUUUAUGACUUCCAGCUCAUUAAUGUUGAAGAUUUUCAGGGAGUUGGAGAAUCUGAGCCUAAUCCUUACUUUUAUCAGAAUCUUGGAGAGGCAGAAUAUGUAGUGGCACUUUUUAUGUACAUGUGCUUACUUGGUUACCCUGCUGACAAGAUUAGCAUUCUAACAACAUAUAAUGGACAAAAGCAUCUUAUUCGUGACAUCAUCAAUAGACGAUGCGGGAGCAAUCCAUUGAUUGGAAGACCAAAUAAGGUGACAACCGUUGACAGAUUUCAAGGUCAACAGAAUGAUUAUAUUCUUCUUUCUCUAGUACGAACCAGGGCAGUGGGCCAUCUGAGGGAUGUCCGUCGCCUAGUGGUGGCCAUGUCUAGAGCCAGACUUGGACUUUAUAUCUUUGCCAGAGUAUCCCUCUUCCAAAACUGUUUUGAACUAACUCCAGCUUUCAGCCAGCUCACAGCCCGCCCACUUCAUUUGCAUAUAAUUCCAACAGAACCUUUCCCAACCAGUAGAAAGAAUGGAGAGAGACCAUCUCAUGAAGUACAGAUAAUAAAGAAUAUGCCCCAGAUGGCAAACUUUGUAUACAACAUGUAUAUGCAUUUGAUACAGACCACACAUCAUUAUCAUCAGACUUUAUUACAGCUACCACCUGCUAUGGUAGAAGAAGGUGAAGAAGUUCAAAGUCAGGAAACAGAAUUGGAAACAGAAGAAGAGGCCACGCCUGCUCAAGCUGACAUUGUACCUAGUCUAACAGAUGCCAGCUUCAGUCAAGAAACCUCAGCCUCUCAGACUGAGACCAUCCCCAAUCACACAGGAGCCAGUUCCAGUUCAGAGGCCAUCCCUCCUGAAUCCGAGAUCACUGCUACUGUGGCAGAACCUGUAGCUGUACCAGUGGAGAAUAACACCCCUCAAGAUGCCACAUCCGCCCCCAGAGAAACCAAGUAGCCAAACUGUAGCCCUUCUUAGGGAGCACAUUUCAUUUAUAAAGUCUAGAGGAAAUGAAUCAUGAUACCUGCAACCAAAGAAGAAGACAACAACCGUUACACCGGACACAGAGAUGAUGCUGUGAAAUGAGUCUGCAUAAACAAACCUUACUAAAAUGACCCUUAUCUUCCAUUAAUUUCCCCAUGUAUUUACUUUCCCACAAUCUACCACCCCUAAAAGCCCAAACUCCCCCCCCUUUUUUUUUUGCCUAUUUACUUCUCCAUAAUUUAUUGUCCUUUGUUAAAAUGGUAUAUAAGCUUCAAAACCUAACAGCUUUGGGGGGGAAUUUUUACUUUUCUGUGUAGCCCCCUGGAAGUAAAGUUAAAAACAUCAAUUAAAUUUGCAUGCUAUUUCUCCUAUUAAUUUGUCUUUUGACAGUUUAAUUUACAGGCCCCAGGUACAGACCUAAGAAGGUAAAGUCUUCCCUCCCCUACAAAAAUAAGACUUUAAUACAUUGUUUUUCCGUUAAGUAACCAGAGGCUAAAGUAACACAGCUGAAGAAGAAUGUAGAGGUGAAGUGAUUUGGACAAAAUGUCAUAGUGUAAUUUGUUGAGUGUCACAUGGUAUUAAUAGCAACAUCCUGAAAAUACAAAUGAAUAAAAGUUUGAUCAAUGUACCAUGACAUUCGUUUGUGUGAGCCUUCUAAGAAAAGGUCACUGAGCAUUCUCUGUUUACAUUUUAAUUUUAGAGUCCAGGAUUUCACACUAACCUUUUCUCAUUUCUUACUGUGCAGUAAAAGAACAGUCUGUAUUUCCAGUGUGUCUUGUUUUCUCAGUUCUCUAAGUGUUUGUUUUCUUUAAAAGUCUGUUUCAAAAAGGAAAAAGAUUUAGCAUGGUAAAUAGGGGUGGACAAGAAAUAAUAGAAGAAAAUUUAGGCAAAUAUGAAGAAAAUUUCCUUAAAGAAGAAUGUAAGAUGAAGGACCCCAAAAGUUACCUUGCAUAGGACAUGUUGAAUUCUCUCUUGGUUGAUCUCCAGAGAUAAUGGUCCCCACCAUCCUCUUUCUCUCUGUCUUUGACUUACAUCGUACAUUCACCCAACACUCUUCUUGCAGUAAAUCUAAGUGCAAGAACCUCAAUGGUAGCUGCUUCUCCUUGGGAGAUGCCUUGUUUAAUACAAAUGCCUCUUUUAGAAACUGAUUUUAUUGACCUUUCUAAAAAAGUCAAGAGUUCUUGAUAGGAAGUGGUCAUAUGAAAUACCUUUUUCUACUCAUUCAUUGGUUCAUUUUGAGGGGAGUUUUCUUCUGGUUUUUAAUUCAGUUAUUUACAGUAAAUGUGGUUAUUGUAUUAUGGUAUUUUCAUUACCCAUUUUCUUCUAGUAGCACUUUCCAGUGCUGAUUUCUUCUAAUCCCAGACUUCCCCAAGAAUAGUAGUGGAACAAGAAUAGAGCUAGUUAAUUUGCAUUUUAUUUUGCUGGUUGACUACUUUCCACAAAAGUGAAUUGAAUUAAAAACAGUAAAAAGUUGGAAGAUGUCUUUGAAACUAUCUAAUUCUUGUGCGUUCAUAGACUGAGUACCUACUGUAUGUCAGGCAACAAUGCCAUAGUUCAUAGGUGAGAAUACUGAGGCAUUGGGUGGUUUGCCUAGGACACUAUGCUUAGUUGAACUGGGACCAGAACCACCACCUGACAUUCAGGCAAAUUCCUUACCUUGCUGUUCUUUAAACUUACUUGCUUGAAACAAAUCAAAGUAGAAGGAGCAACACUUAAUAUUUCACAGAUGAGUAAGGCAAGCCUACUAAAGAAUUCCUCUCAGGCUUAGAAUACCAGAGAGAAGACCAGGUUGCCAAAAUCAGGAUAGGAAAUAAGAGGUCUAUGAAAAAAUAUGCUUUAAUGUCACAGUGUUUAUACUUACAGGUGAAAGCCAAAUUAAUACUUGUUUUGGAUUGAAAAAGGUAUGAGAAACAUAUAAUGGGGAGGGGCUAUAGUAAGUAGUAUUUAAGUGCCAAAAUGUAAAUUAUUCUAAUGCUGUUUUAGUUUUAGACAAAGUCAGUAACAGGUUAAAUAACAGUUUUAAAAGAAUGUAAUAUAUGAUAAGAGAAAAGUUAGAAUUUACCAAGACCUGUACUUUAAAUUACCAUUAUAGGCAAACCUCAGAGAUAUUGUGGGUUCAUUCCAGACCACUGCAAUAAAUUGAAUAUCACAAUAAAGAGAGUCACACUAAUUUUUCAGCUUCCCGGUGCAUAUAAAAGUUAUUUUUAUACUAUACUGUAGUCUAUUAAGUAUGCUAAAUAGUAUUAUGUCUAAAAAAGCAUACAUACCUUAAUUUUAAAAUAUUUUAUUGCAAAAAAAAAUGCUAACCAUCAUCUGAGCCUUCAGCGAGUCAUAAUCUUCUUGCAAUAAUAACAUGCAGGAUCACAGAUCACCAUAAUAAAUAUAACAAUAAUGAAAAAGUUUGAAAUAUUGUAAGAAUUACCAAAAUGUGACACAGAGACACAAAGUGAGUAAGUGCCGAUGGGAUAGUGCCGUUGAUACACUUACUUGACACAAGGUUGCUUCAAACCUUCAAUUUGUUAAAAACAUAGUAUCUACAAAACGCAAUAAAGUGAAGUGCAAUAAAACGAGGAAUGCCUGGUUCAGCCUUCCAGUUUAACUCUACCUGCCACAAACCCAACGUUAGCACAUUUGGGAGCUGAAAAGAACAUCUGUGUGAGCUAAAGUUCCCAGGAGCAAACGUCUGUUUCUGAAACAACUCAAAGCAAGAUGCUCUUAUGCAAUUACAGAAAUCAGUUGUGGUUAUUUAGAGGUGGUCGUUGCAAUUCUUGGUCUAGUUGGGCUCAUUUAAAUGAAUGGGCUCAUCUGAGCAAGUAGAGAAUGUGUUUCCUCUGCAGAAAUACAGUCAUAGCUUUGGUGAAAAGACUCAUGAAUGUCAACUGUCAUUGACACUUGAGAAAUUAAAUUGGUCAAGUGGUUCUCUUAAAUUGACAUGGUACUAUGAAUAUUGGGCAUGGGUAGUUUGGCCUGCUUUUGAGCUACAUAAAAAUGGAAUCAUACAAAAUGUACUUUUUUUUGUCUGCCUUCUCAGAUAGAUUGUAAUGACAUGAGGUAGGGAUCAAGAUUAACUGAGCGCUAUUUAUUAGAUCAUUCUUUCCCUCAACACACUAUACUGUAAUCUUUGUCGUAAAUCAAGUAAUUGUAUAUGUGUGGGUCUCUUUCUGGAAUUGUUCCAUUGGUAUAUUUUUCUUUUCUUGUGCCAACAUUUAACUGUUUUAAUUACUGUAGCUUUACAUUAAACCUUGACAUCUGGUUGUGUAUGCUCCCUUAGCUAUAUUCUUCAAGAUAUUGGCCACUCUUAAUCUGUGUAUACACUUUAGAAUCAUCCUGUCAAUUCUAAAAAAAAGCGAAAAAACCUUGCUUGGAUUUUUAUUGGGAUUGUAUUGAUUAUGUAGAUCAAUUUGGAGGAAAAUUGAUGUCUUUAUCAUUUAGGAAUAUGGUGUUUCUUUCCAUUUACUUAAGCCUUCUUUAAUCUCAAUAAUGUUUUGUAGUUUUCUAGAUAAAGGUUUUGGCCAUCUUUUUUUACAUUUAUUCGUUUUUGAAUUUUUAUGCUACUAUAAGUGGUACUUUUAAAACUACAUUUUAUUAUGUUUUGUCAUUAUUUGUUACUGGUAUAUAGAAAUACAGUAUCUUUCUUGUAUGUUGCCCUGGUAUGUAGCAAUCUUGGUAAAUUCACUUAUUAUAGUAUGACAGUAGAUUAUUUUGGGUUAUCUACAUACAUAAUUAUGUCAUCUGUGAAUAAUG